CGACCUGAGCUCAGGCAAGAACACCCGCUGAACUUAAGCAUAUCAAUAAGCGGAGGAAAAGAAACUAACAAGGAUUCCCUUAGUAACGGCGAGUGAACUGGGAAUAGCCCAACUUGAAAAUCUCWCUUUGGAGAAUUGUAGUCUAUAGAAACGCCCUCUGUGGCGGCUAGAGCCCAAGUCCUCUGGAAAGGGGCGUCAGAGAGGGUGAGAACCCCGUCGGCUCUUAGCUUAGCUACUUCACGAGGUGUUUUCCACGAGUCGGGUUGUUUGAGAAUGCAGCCCAAAAUUGGAGGUAAAUCCCUUCUAAGGCUAAAUAUUGGCGAGAGACCGAUAGCGAACAAGUACCGUGAGGGAAAGAUGAAAAGAACUUUGAAAAGAGAGUUAAACAGUGCUUGAAAUUGUUGAGAGGGAAGCGAUUGAAAGCUGCGGGUGCGCCUAGGCUUAUGCGUCUCUCACGAGCCGUUGUAUGUGCUAGGUGCUGGUCAGCAUGGGUUUGCUUGGCGGGAUAACAGCAAGGAUUGAUACCUUGCCUAUGCCGCCGAGUGGAUCAAGGCGUGAAUGGUGCUCUGUCCCUUGGGAACUGC
rnacentral:rRNA from 1 species